rnacentral:lncRNA from 1 species
UUCCCUCCAGGAGCCGUUCGCUGGACGUGCAGGAGCUUCAGGCCUUGAGCUCCUUCUACUGGGUGGCCCCGUAUUCAUCAAUGGCUUUCCAAGUGGGUUGUACCAAUUUACAAAUGAAAUAUAAGAACUUCCAUUUUUCUUGAUUCUCAUGUGCCAGUUUGACAGCUGUUCUGGAGCCUGUUUCUAUUCGUCCCAAAUUAGAUGUUUAAAAAUGCUGAAAUGGCUGAAAAGAAAAAAGGAUUUGAGUCUCUGCAGUUUCACACGAACAAGUUCCCAAGGUACACUGACAUUUUCUGAACCAAAACUUGCGACACAAGAUGGUCAGAACAUAAGAUGAGACAUUUGACAUCAGGAUUGCUCUCAAAGCCUGCCUCUACAAGGUUGCUGUGGUCAUAUAAUCUCAUGGCUAAAAGUUUUACUAUCCACAGUUUAAUAUUUAAAAAGUAUGUUCUUAAAAAACUAGUAGGGAAUUUACUUGUUAAUUACUAGACAUAUAGUGAUGCAUUAAGUAUAUUUAUAAUAUUGUAAUAAAUGUUUCAUAUCCAGGAUCA